GGCAGAAUGAAACUUAAUCUUGGGUAAGAGACCUGUAAGUGAUUGGAGGUGCUACUGUGACAAACAUAAUUUGAUGGCUUCUUCCUUGCUGUUUCCUUUCAUCCUUUCAUUAAAGCAUUGCUGAUGAAGCUGAGUUGAAGUGAUGAAAAUGGACCUAAAAUCCAGCAAAGCUGAACAUGUUCAACGCUGAAGGAAGGAACAUAACAUCCACAACAGUGUUUCAAUUCAGGCUAAAGAAGGGUCUUUAUGGCAGAAUGAUGGAUUCCAUCUUUUCCAGAAUGGUAAGCAAAAAGCUUUUUCUGUUUCUGAUAACACAGAGCAGAAGGUAAGCUCUUGUGAGAAAGGAUUGCCAAAUUGCUUGAGAAAUAACUGUACUGUUCAAUUUCAU
rnacentral:lncRNA from 1 species